GUCCCUAUCGUCUAGAGGCCUAGGACAUCGCCCUUUCACGGCGGUAACCGGGGUUCGAAUCCCCGUAGGGACGCCC
rnacentral:tRNA from 1 species